rnacentral:rRNA from 1 species
UACGGAGGGUGCAAGCGUUAUCCGGAUUCACUGGGUUUAAAGGGUGCGUAGGUGGUUUUGUAAGUCGGUGGUGAAAUCCUGGAGCUCAACUCCAGAACUGCCUUCGAUACUGAGAGUCUUGAGUCCGGGAGAGGUGAGUGGAACUGCGAGUGUAGAGGUGAAAUUCGUAGAUAUUCGCAAGAACACCAGUGGCGAAGGCGGCUCACUGGCCCGGUACUGACGCUGAGGUGCGAAAGCGUGGGGAGCAAACAGG